GAUGAACGCUGACAGAAUGCUUAACACAUGCAAGUCUACUUGAUCCUUCGGGUGAUGGUGGCGGACGGGUGAGUAACGCGUAAAGAACUUGCCCUGCAGUCUGGGACAACAUUUGGAAACGAAUGCUAAUACCGGAUAUUAUGUGAGUUUCGCAUGAAAUUCAUAUGAAAGCUAUAUGCGCUGCAGGAGAGCUUUGCGUCCUAUUAGCUAGUUGGUGAGGUAACGGCUCACCAAGGCGAUGAUAGGUAGCCGGCCUGAGAGGGUGAACGGCCACAUUGGGACUGAGACACGGCCCAG
rnacentral:rRNA from 1 species